rnacentral:rRNA from 1 species
GUCCAACAUUACUGGUGCCAGAAGACUCGGUAACGCCAGAAACGCAAACGUUAGUCGUCUUAAUCAGGCGUAAAGGGUAAGUAGGCUGCUUUAAAAGUUAUUAAUUAGAAAGCUCUUUAAAAAAAAAUUAAAGUAAAAAAUAAUGAAUUAAAGCUAGAAUCAAAUAGAGGAUAAGCCAAAUAAUGUUUAGAGGAAGGCUGAUAUCUUUAGAUACUAAAUAGAAUACUUAAGGUGAAAACUUUUAUCUACUAUUGAUUGACGCUGAGGAACGAAGGUGAGAAUAGAAAACAGGAUUAGAGACCCAGGUAUCUCUCACUGUCAACGAUGAAUGGUGGUUGUUAGUUUAAUUUAAACUAGUAACGAUGCUAACGCGAUAACCAUUCCGCCUUGCGAGUAC